rnacentral:rRNA from 1 species
UUCCGUAGGUGAACCUGCGGAGGGAUCAUUACAGAGUUGCAAAACUCCCUAAACCAUUGUGAACGUUACCUAUACCGUUGCUUCGGCGGGCGGCCCCGGGGUUUACCCCCCGGGCGCCCCUGGGCCCCACCGCGGGCGCCCGCCGGAGGUCACCAAACUCUUGAUAAUUUAUGGCCUCUCUGAGUCUUCUGUACUGAAUAAGUCAAAACUUUCAACAACGGAUCUCUUGGUUCUGGCAUCGAUGAAGAACGCAGCGAAAUGCGAUAAGUAAUGUGAAUUGCAGAAUUCAGUGAAUCAUCGAAUCUUUGAACGCACAUUGCGCCCGCCAGCAUUCUGGCGGGCAUGCCUGUUCGAGCGUCAUUUCAACCAUCAAGCCCCCGGGCUUGUGUUGGGGACCUGCGGCUGCCGCAGGCCCUGAAAAGCAGUGGCGGGCUCGCUGUCGCACCGAGCGUAGUAGCAUACAUCUCGCUCUGGUCGCGCCGCGGGUUCCGGCCGUUAAACCACCUUUUUAACCCAAGGUUGACCUCGGAUCAGGUAGGAAGACCCGCUGAACUUAAGCAUAUC